rnacentral:rRNA from 1 species
AGGGUUUGAUUCUGGCUCAGGAUGAACGCUAGCGGCAGGCUUAACACAUGCAAGUCGAGGGGUAACAGAGAGUGCUUGCACUCUGCUGACGACCGGCGAACGGGUGCGUAACGCGUAUGCAACUUGCCUUCUACAGGGAGAUAGCCCAGAGAAAUUUGGAAUAAUAUCCCAUACGGUCAUUUAAUGGCAUCAUUAAAUGAAGAAAACCCAGGUGGUAGAAGAUAGGCAUGCGUCCUAUUAGUUAGUUGGUAAGGUAACGGCUUACCAAGACACCGAUAGGUAGGGGUCCUGAGAGGGAGAUCCCCCACACUGGUACUGAGACACGGACCAGACUCCUACGGGAGGCAGCAGUGAGGAAUAUUGGACAAUGGAGGCAACUCUGAUCCGGCCAUGCCGCGUGCAGGAAGACGGCCCUACGGGUUGUAAACUGCUUUUAUACAGGAAGAAUUGUACCUACGUGUAGGUAUUUGACGGUACUGUAAGAAUAAGGAUCGGCUAACUCCGUGCCAGCCGCCGCGGUAAUU